AUGGGCCUGGAGGCCUAUGGGCUUGACAUUGACCCCCAAGGGAGGCCCCUGAUAUCCCAGAGUCAAGCCGGAAACCACAGAUCAGCCCAGCCCUCUCCUUUCACAGGUGGUGAAGUUCAGGGCCAGAGAUUUCAUCUCUUGUGUUUCCCUGGCAGGUGUUGGAGAUGCUCGUUCCAGCCCUGGGUCCUGGGCAUCAGACGGCUCCGAGCCUCACUCUCCCCAGCUGCAGAACGGGGUGAUUUCGGCUUCUCCCACGGGGCUGCUGUGGGGCUCCAGUUAGACCACCACCACCGUGCCCGGCCAUGUGACUCAUAGCGCCGUCUGAAGGAUUCUUCAUCCUGGGCGACUCGGAAUCACCAUGCCUCCUGGGUUUGCUCUUCUUGCUACAAAAGGCUCCCCAGGCCUUCGCCCCAGCUCUGGAGACGCUCCUCAGCCUGGUUCAUUUGGAGCGAGCCCGGCCCCUCUGUGUUGGGAAACAGGGGUCCCUUCCAGCCUCCGGCCCUGGGCAGAGGGAGGAGGAGGCCUCGGGAUGCAGAGGCAGGAGGGCGUGGAUUAGAAACCCAUCACAGAAAUGACUUUCUUAUCACGCUACGACCUGAAUUGACAGAACCAACUCUCGAAAUUGAAUUGUCUCCCCCCUCGGCUGCCUCAGCUCCUAGUUCCUUCCCCACUGCCACCUCCACCUCUGAAAGCCCUGCUGGGAGAGACCAAGAGACAGAGAUGCAGGAGAGAAGCAAAGGUAGGAAAAUGGGGCGGCUAGGGACCCCAGGCCCCUGGGGGGGCCAAGCGGCAGGGAUGGGAGGAGAUAGGGGGUGACAUGGGACCUCAGCACAGUGGGGGAUGCCCGCCACCCUGCUCCUUUCCCACCUGCCCCUGCACGCCACCACCGCUGGCAGGCUGGGGGCCUCUCCUUCCUGCUGGCCCCUCUCCAGCCCCCACCUUGGCGCCUCCAUCAAGCCCAGAGCAGACCCUGGUGGCGGGGGCAGAACCCUGGGCUGGAGCCCACGGGUGCUUGGAAGCAGCUCCAGUGAGUUCCUGGCAGAGUCCAGCUGCAGGUGGUAGGGAAACGGCCGAGGGUGGCCGGGGGCAGCCAGCUGUGUAAUCGGUCUCGACUCUCCCACAUCCAGCCCGAGGCAGGAGGUGAGCAGGGCGGGGCAGAGGUGAGUGGAGGGAGCAUCCGGCCCCAGCUGCCACCAGCUCCCCAAGCAGGCCAACCUAGAGUACCCUAUGGGGGCUCGGAGCCCCGGAAACGCAGGACAGGCUACGGGUGUUCUGGGCAGGGGGCUGGGACCCAGUAUGUAACCCUCUAUAGCCC
rnacentral:lncRNA from 1 species